rnacentral:rRNA from 1 species
AGCGAACGCUGGCGGCAGGCUUAACACAUGCAAGUCGAGCGGGCACUUCGGUGUCAGCGGCGGACGGGUGAGUAACGCGUGGGAACGUGCCCUCUGGUUCGGAAUAACUCAGGGAAACUUGAGCUAAUACCGGAUACGCCCUUUUUGGGGAAAGGCUUGCUGCCGGAGGAUCGGCCCGCGUCUGAUUAGCUAGUUGGUGGGGUAACGGCCUACCAAGGCGACGAUCAGUAGCUGGUCUGAGAGGAUGAUCAGCCACACUGGGACUGAGACACGGCCCAGACUCCUACGGGAGGCAGCAGUGGGGAAUAUUGGACAAUGGGGGCAACCCUGAUCCAGCCAUGCCGCGUGAGUGAUGAAGGCCUUAGGGUUGUAAAGCUCUUUUAUCCGGGACGAUAAUGACGGUACCGGAGGAAUAAGCCCCGGCUAACUUCGUGCCAGCCGCCGCCGUAA